rnacentral:rRNA from 1 species
UACGUAGGUGGCAAGCGUUUGUCCGGAAUUAUUGGGCGUAAAGCGCGCGCAGGCGGCCUUUUAAGUCUGAUGUGAAAGCCCACGGCUCAACCGUGGAAGGUCAUUGGAAACUGAAAGGCUUGAGUACAGAAGAGGAAAGCGGAAUUCCACGUGUAGCGGUGAAAUGCGUAGAGAUGUGGAGGAACACCAGUGGCGAAGGCGGCUUUCUGGUCUGUAACUGACGCUGAGGCGCGAAAGCGUGGGGGAGCAAACAGG